GAUGAACGCUGGCGGCGUGCUUAACACAUGCAAGUCGAACGAAAAAGCCCAGGUUUCUGUGUGGACUCGUGUCGAACAGGUGAGUAACACGUGAGUACCAUGUCCUUAACACUGGGAUAAAACUGGGUAAAAGGGUCUCAAACAGGUUAAGAGAGUACAUUGCAUAUUGGGUGUUGGAAAGAUUUAUCGGUGUUGAUGAGGUUCGCGGCCUAUCAGCUUGUUGGUGAGGUAAGGGCUAACCAAGGCGCCGACGGGUAGCCGGCCUGAGCGGGUGACCGGCCACACUGGGACUGAGAUACGGCCCAGACUCCUACGGGAGGCAGCAGUGGGGAAUAUUGCACAAUGGGCGCAAGCCUGAUGCAGCGACGCCGCGUGGGGGAUGACGGCCUUCGGGUUGUAAACUUCUUUCGGUAGGGAAGAAGCGAAAGUGACGGUACCUGCAGAAGAAGCACCGGCUAACUACGUG
rnacentral:rRNA from 1 species